GCCUUCGUGAUGUUAUGGUCAGCAUGUUCGGCGCGUAUUCGGGAGGUCAGUGGUUCGAGUCCCGGCGAGGGCA
rnacentral:tRNA from 1 species